rnacentral:rRNA from 1 species
UAGACCUCAGAUCAGGCAGGAUUACCCGCUGAACUUAAGCAUAUCAAUAAGCGGAGGAAAAGAAACUAACAAGGAUUCCCCUAGUAACGGCGAGUGAAGCGGGAAAAGCUCAAAUUUGUAAUCUGGCACUUUCAGUGUCCGAGUUGUAAUCUCGAGAAGUGUUUUCCGCGCCGGACUGCAUACAAGUCUGUUGGAAUACAGCGUCAUAGUGGUGAGAACCCCGUAACUGAUGCAGAUGCCCGGUGCUUUGUGAUACACUUUCGAAGAGUCGAGUUGUUUGGGAAUGCAGCUCAAAUUGGGUGGUAAAUUCCAUCUAAAGCUAAAUAUUGGCGAGAGACCGAUAGCGAACAAGUACCGUGAGGGAAAGAUGAAAAGCACUUUGGAAAGAGAGUUAACAGUACGUGAAAUUGUUGGAAGGGAAACGAUUGAAGUCAGACUUGUUAUCUGGAGUUCAGCCUUUAGGUGUACUCUCCAGUUUACAGGCCAGCAUCAGUUUUUGGGGCGGGAAAAUCGUAAUUAGAAGGUAGCAGCCUAGCUGUGUUAUAGCUUUUUACUGGAUUCCGCUUCGGGGACUGAGGAAUGCAGUGUGCUUUUAGCAAUACCCUCGGGUAUUUCACACUUAGGAUGCUGGUGGAAUGGCUUUAAACGACCCGUCUUGAAACACGGACCAAGGAGUCUAACAUGCUUGCGAGUAUUUGGGUGUCAAACCCGGAUGCGCAAUGAAAGUGAAUGAAGGUGGGAUCCGCAAGGUGCACCAUCGACCGAUCUGGAUUUUUUAAGAUGGAUUUGAGUAAGAGCAAUUAUGUUGGGACCCGAAAGAUGGUGAACUAUGCCUGAAUAGGGCGAAGCCAGAGGAAACUCUGGUGGAGGCUCGUAGCGGUUCUGACGUGCAAAUCGAUCGUCAAAUUUGGGUAUAGGGGCGAAAGACUAAUCGAACCAUCUAGUAGCUGGUUCCUGCC